rnacentral:rRNA from 1 species
AUGCUCUUGCUGCCUCUUCGUCUGCGUCCUUCCAGCAAUGGUAUGGUGUGUAGACUUCGCCGCUCCAUAUAUGGUCUCAAACAGGCCCCGCGCGCCUGGUUUGAGCGCUUCGCCUCUGUGGUGACUGCCGCUGGUUUCUUGCCCAGUAAUCAUGAUCCAGCGUUGUUUGUUCACACGUCUCCUCGUGGUCGGACUCUUCUCCUUCUCUAUGUUGAUGACAUGAUCAUCACUGGUGACGACUCUGAUUACAUUGCCUUUGUUAAGGCUCGUCUUCAUGACCAGUUUCUCAUGACUGAUCUUGGUCCACUUCGCUAUUUUCUUGGGAUUGAGAUCUCCUCGACCUCUGAUGGCUUCUACAUCUCCCAAGAAAAAUAUAUUCAGGACGUUCUUGCUCGCGCUGCUCUCGGUGAUGAGCGCACUGUUGUAACUCCCAUGGAGUCCAAUGUUCAGCGUCGUGCCUCUGAUGGUGAUCCUCUCCCUAAUCCCACUCGCUAUCGUCACCUUGUUGGCAGUCUUGUCUAUCUUGCUGUUAUGCGUCCUGACAUCUCCUAUCCUGUCCACAUUCUGAGUCAGUUCGUUUCAGCCCCCACCUCUGUCCACUAUAGUCAUCUCCUCCGUGUUCUACGAUAUCUUCGUGGCACGAUCUCUCAGCGUCUUUUCUUUCCCCGCUCCAGCUCUCUUGAGCUCCAGGCCUACUCUGAUGCUACCUGGGCUAGUGAUCCCUCUGAUCGACGCUCACUGUCUGCUUAUUGUGUCUUUCUUGGUGGCUCUCUUAUUGCCUGGAAGACAAAGAAACAGACCGCAGUCUCUCGCUCGAGUACAGAGGCUGAGUUGCGAGCCAUGGCUAUGCUGACGGCUGAGGUGAUCUGGUUACGAUGGCUACUUGAGGAUUUUGGUGUGUCUGCUACUACCUCGACUCCUUUAUUGUCAGACGGUACUGGUGCUAUCAGUAUUGCGCGUGACCCGGUGAAGCAUGAGCUCACCAAGCACAUCGGUGUAGAUGCCCACUUUGUGCGUGCUGUUGUGCAGGAUCAGACUCUCGCUCUUCACUAUGUGCCCUCUGAGUUACAGUUGGCAGACUUCUUCACGAAGGCACAGACUCGAGCCCAGCAUAGUUUUCUUCUUUCCAAACUCAGU